rnacentral:lncRNA from 1 species
GUGCUGAGGACUCAGUGGUUUUGCUCUAAAACACCAAUCAUUGCGGGAUUUCCAGAUUUGCCAUAGUAAAAGGGCGAGUCGCUCAAAAGAGAUGGAGGUAUGCUUGAAAUUGUUCAGCCAUUCCUCUAUUCGAGUUAUCCCUUGACCUUCUUUCUGUAUUUUCACAUCAGCAGCAGCCCAUAUUUGGUGCGUCCAUGGACAGAGGAGGAAGAGAUGCUCGAUUGAUUCUGGAUUUCUGUUGCAGAUCAUGCAUGUUGCCUCAGGUAUGAUAUGUCUGCGAUACAAGUUUUCCUUUGUUGCUAAGGCAUUUUGGCAGAUUUGCCAUAGGAAAAAUCGCACUUUAGGUGGAAGUUGGGCAUGCCAUAUUUUGUUCCAAAAUGAUCUUGGUGUUCGAUAUGAUGACGAGGCCUGGUUUUGCUGCUGUUUUG